GUGACGGCUCGAGCAGGAACGAAAGUUGGUCUUAGUGAUCCGGUGGUUCUGAAUGGAAGGGCCAUCGCUCAACGGAUAAAAGGUACUCCGGGGAUAACAGGCUGAUACCGCCCAAGAGUUCAUAUCGACGGCGGUGUUUGGCACCUCGAUGUCGGCUCAUCACAUCCUGGGGCUGAAGCAGGUCCCAAGGGUAUGGCUGUUCGCCAUUUAAAGUGGUACG
rnacentral:rRNA from 1 species